rnacentral:lncRNA from 1 species
UCGACGAAAUCGAAGGGCCAUUCGAGGUAGCCUCUGACGGCACAGUGAAAUUCGAGGAGAAGGACGGAAUCGACUACGCGGCUGUCACGGUCCAGCUCCCAGGAGGCGAGCGGGUCCCUUUCCUCUUUACCGUCAAGCAACUGGUGGCCUCCGGUAAGCCAGAGAGCUUCAGCGGGGAAUUCUUGGUACCAUCUUACCGUGGGUCUUCAUUCUUGGACCCUAAGGGCAGAGGUGGGUCCCAAGGUUACGACAACGCGGUUGCGCUCCCCGCUGGCGGGAGGGGUGACGAGGAGGAGCUAGCUAAGGAGAACACCAAGAACGCUGCUUCUUCAAGGGGUAAGAUUACUCUGAGCGUGACCAAGAGCAAGCCUGAGACUGGGGAGGUGAUUGGUGUUUUUGAGAGCGUUCAGCCUUCGGAUACUGAUUUGGGUGCCAA